GGGUCUCUUUCCCACAAAGUAGCUCGUUUGAAUAAAAAGGGAACAGAGCACGUUGCGACACUAAAAGGGCUUAUUAGAAUGGCGAACUUAAGGCACUGAUAAAUAAACUUACACCGCACUCCACACUAAAACAUUUGGAGCAGUAAUGUAGUUAAGUAAACUGGGCAUCUCAAACAGGCUUCCACAAGACACAGUAACAUUUAAAAUAUAUCCUGAACGAUCAUAUGCCUCUUGGAAAGUGAAAUCUCCAAUAAGCAGCUUCAUUACCCUUUCCAAAUGGCUGAUAUCCAAGACACAGCCUCUAGUGAAAUACUGUUUGACAGACUGUAUAACUGAUGGUGGUGCUGCAUUGGGAUCAGUAAAGACACUGAGAUCACCUGUAUGAAAUUGUCUAAGCAAAAUCUCCUGCUCUUCUUUAUUUCGGACUGCUGCCGCGCACGCAACAAUUGCACCAGCAGAUGAACCACAGAUAAUUUUAGGUACCAAACCUUGUUCAUGCAAAGACUGUAAAACACCAAUAUGUGUCAUACCAAACGUUCCACCACCACUUAAGAUCAAUGCUGUAUUGCCAGUCGUAAGUUUUAAACGAGAAAAUUCAGUAAUCUUUUCAUCCAACGAAAGAUCAGGCGUUUCCUCUAAAUACGUCAAGCACAUCAAAACCUCUUGAAUGAACUCAUCUAUCAAUUUUUUUGUCCCUGAAUGUGCAUAAUUAUAUAAUCUACUAUUAUCCAUAUUUGCAAAGUCUCUUGCAACUGAAUUUCGUAAAAGUCCAAGCAAAAGUCUCGUAUUUUUAGACAAUCGAUGUCUUCGCAGUUCAUGCAGCCGACUCUCGACUAAAACAUAGUCGUACUCAUCUGACUCCUUUUGCUCUCUCCAUUGAUAUUUUCCUGGUUCCAUUAGUAAUAAAACCAAGUAAAAUCUUACCUUCUAUGACAUCUAAUUUUUCCGCAGCUUCAAGCCAUGUUUCAUAGCUUGAAGCAUAUUCCAUCUGUAGUUUAAUUUCAUUUUUAGACAUUUACAUCGAUUAUUGACAAAAAUUAUCCAACGACGUCCUCUAAAUGUGAAACUUAACUAGUUGUAGGGAAAGGGAAGAUGAUCAUAUGGUAAGGUAAAAUAUA